rnacentral:tmRNA from 1 species
GCCAGGAGGACACCCAAAACGCGGACUACGCGCGUAGAGGCCUGCCGUAGGGACUUUCGGACGGGGGUUCGACUCCCCCCACCUCCACCA